CGACCGCUGGCGGCGUGCCUAAUACAUGCAAGUAGACCGCUGAAGGAGGAGCUUGCUUCUCUGGAUGAGUUGCGAACGGGUGAGUAACGCGUAGGUAACCUGCCUGGUAGCGGGGGAUAACUAUUGGAAACGAUAGCUAAUACCGCAUAAUAGUAGAUGUUGCAUGACAUUUGCUUAAAAGGUGCAAUUGCAUCACUACCAGAUGGACCUGCGUUGUAUUAGCUAGUUGGUGGGGUAACGGCUCACCAAGGCGACGAUACAUAGCCGACCUGAGAGGGUGAUCGGCCACACUGGGACUGAGACACGGCCCAGACUCCUACGGGAGGCAGCAGUAGGGAAUCUUCGGCAAUGGACGGAAGUCUGACCGAGCAACGCCGCGUGAGUGAAGAAGGUUUUCGGAUCGUAAAGCUCUGUUGUAAGAGAAGAACGAGUGUGAGAGUGGAAAGUUCACACUGUGACGGUAUCUUACCAGAAAGGGACGGCUAACUACGUG
rnacentral:rRNA from 1 species